CCUCCCUCCCCCUCCGUGGUGGCGGCACAGCAGAGUACAAAAUUGGAGGCUGUCGUGGUUCAGUGGUAGGUUGUGCAAGUACUCAAAUAGUUGCCUUAUUUCUCCUUCUGCUAAUAAAUGUGAUAAUGGACAACCUUGGUACAUAGGGAAAAUGAGAGGCAAAGGCCAGACCCCUAUUAUGCACAUCAUACUUAGAUUUCUGUAAUUCGUCAUGAAUGCUUAUUGUGCAAGGUUUUAUAUUUCUAUAUUUGUUCUUUGACAUAUGGAAGUUACACUUGUGAGUAAUUGGGUCAUAGAACAUUGAUUUGAUUUAUCUUCUGUCGGUAAGCAUUGUCCUGUAACAAACAUUUAGUAAGGGCAUAUAUAAUCGAGGGAUAAGCAAUCUAUGAUA
rnacentral:rRNA from 1 species